GGACUGGAGCAUGUCAUCACUGUCUUAAAUGUACUGAAAUUCUAACAGCUCUAGCUGAAAAAAUGUCCAAAGCAGGCCGUGAAAAUAAAUUUAAAUGACAAACUCCAAAAUGAUCUAUGCUAGAAUCCCAAGGCUGUCAGGGAAAACUGGUUCCAUGGAAGAAGGUAGUCAAAGAAAUAAGCAGAUCAGAUGACCUAGACCCUCACCCAAUAUGCGCGAUGUACUUGGGGAGAAAGUAACCUCUUUCCUUUAUUCACCUACAUAGGUUCGUGAGCCACACAUCUCCCCACACCAAGCUCCUCCAUACAAGACCUCGGACUGCAUCACGUAAAUGCUUUUUCAGGGGCAAAAUCUAGAGAAUCUGAAACGAGCUAUCAGCUUCCCAGUUUGCACAAUUCAUCAAGAAAUUAUGCGGGGUCACUGGCACAAAUGAUGAGGCAUCUCCUGGAAGCUUAACUUCUUAUCCAUCCCAUCUCUUGGACAGAUGAUGCCAGUUAAUUACUUUGAAUGCUCUGCUGCUAUGGUGAGCUGCACGUCUGGAGGCUUCACAGAGACACUGGGUGAAUCUAAAUGAUGAGUUUGAUGGUGACCUGGAGGUGAAACUGUGACUUCAUGAUGUUCUAGAGGCUGACCUGGGGUCUCCUGCUGGGUCAGAGAAGAUUCGACCUCCCCAGAAGACUCAGAAGGCUGAACUGGCUGCUGCUGCUCACUGAUGGAAAGUUCAUGCUCCAUAGGAGGAACUGGAGGCUCAAUUGGGGCCUCCUGUUGGGUUGCAGAAGGUUCCACCUCCUCUGGAAACUGAAUUGGGGUCUCCUGCUGGGUUUGGGAAGAUUCUGUCUCAUUGGUAGGCUCUGAAGUUAUGGUAACCUCCACAUCUGCAGGUUUAACUGUAAUGUUGGGCAAGUGAUAAUAAGCUUGAUCCUCACCUGGAGGUUGAACUGACACCUCAUGAUUCGGUAGAGUUAGACUCUCCAUAGAGGACUCUGGAGGCAGAGCUGGGGCCUCCUGCUGCAUUGAAGAAGGUUCUUCCUCAAGGAGCUGUGGAAGCUGUGCUGGGGCUUCUUGUUGGAGUGAAGAGGACUGGAUGUCUUCAAGGGUCUCUGGAUUUUGAGUUUCGGGCUCUAGAUGGAAUUGAGAAGGUCCAACUUGCUCAGAGGGCCCUGGAGGCUCAUCUGACUUCACCCGGAGUUCUGGAGGCAGGCUACCGGGAUACGGUGUAUCUGUACUGGAAUAUUCAUUCUGCAAAUUCUGUUUCUGACUAUGAGGUGUGGAUAAUUGGCGUAUAAUUCCAAUAAUCUCAGCAAGGCUCCAACG
ensembl:lncRNA novel transcript